rnacentral:rRNA from 1 species
CCUACGGGGGGCAGCAGUGGGGAAUAUUGGACAAUGGGGGGAACCCUGAUCCAGCCAUGCCGCGUGUGUGAAGAAGGCCCUCGGGUUGUAAAGCACUUUCAGUGAGGAAGAACGCCUGGUGGUUAAUACCCAUCAGGAAAGACAGCACUCACAGAAGAAGCACCGGCUAACUCCGUGCCAGCAGCCGCGGUAAUACGGAGGGUGCGAGCGUUAAUCGGAAUUACUGGGCGUAAAGCGCGCGUAGGUGGCUUGAUAAGCCGGUUGUGAAAGCCCCGGGCUCAACCUGGGAACGGCAUCCGGAACUGUCAAGCUAGAGUGCAGGAGAGGAAGGUAGAAUUCCCGGUGUAGCGGUGAAAUGCGUAGAGAUCGGGAGGAAUACCAGUGGCGAAGGCGGCCUUCUGGACUGACACUGACACUGAGGUGCGAAAGCGUGGGUAGCAAACAGGAUUAGAUACCCCUGUAGUC